rnacentral:rRNA from 1 species
GACGAACGCUGGCGGCGUGCUUAACACAUGCAAGUCGAACGGAAAGGCCCUGCUUUUGUGGGGUGCUCGAGUGGCGAACGGGUGAGUAACACGUGAGUAACCUGCCCUUGACUUUGGGAUAAAUUCAGGAAACUGGGGCUCAUACCGGAUAGGAGCUCCUGAUGCAUGGUGGGGGUUGGAAAGUUUCGGCGGUUGGGGAUGGACUCGCGGCUUAUCCGCUUGUUGGUGGGGUAGUGGCUUACCAAGGCUUUGACGGGUAGCCGGCCUGAGAGGGUGACCGGCCACAAUGGGACUGAGGGACGGCCCAGACGCCUACGGGAGGCAGCAGGGGGGAAUAUUGCACAAUGGGCGGAAGCCUGAUGCAGCAACGCCGCGUGCGGGAUGACGGCCUUCGGGUUGUAAACCGCUUUCGCCUGUGACGAAGCGUGAGUGACGGUAAUGGGUAAAGAAGCACCGGCUAACUACGUG